rnacentral:rRNA from 1 species
UACGUAGGGUGCAAGCGUUAUCCGGAAUUAUUGGGCGUAAAGAGCUCGUAGGCGGUUUGUCGCGUCUGCUGUGAAAAUCCGGGGCUCAACCCCGGACUUGCAGUGGGUACGGGCAGACUAGAGUGUGGUAGGGGAGACUGGAAUUCCUGGUGUAGCGGUGAAAUGCGCAGAUAUCAGGAGGAACACCGAUGGCGAAGGCAGGUCUCUGGGCCACUACUGACGCUGAGGCGCGAAAGCUAGGGGAGCAAACAGG